rnacentral:lncRNA from 10 species
GUGGGAUUACCUGUUCUUUUAGCUGAAAUGCGUUGAAAGCACCUACCUCCACCUGAGGCAGCCCUGGAGGUCCCUGUCUGCCACAACCCCCGAUGCCUGGCUUCCCUCUCUGCGCCUGUUCCUGGAGCCAGUUCUUUCCUCCGGCUCCCCAGGGAGAGUUAGCAGGGGGCUCAGGCCCCUCAUCUGAUUCCGGUUUUCUGGCUGGCCUCACUCCCAGGGCCCCUUGCCCACUUUGAGGCUUCUCACCUCCAGUUCCACCCACCGAGGCUUCUCACCUCCAGUUCCACCCACUGAGGCUUCUCACCUCCAAUUCCACCCACCGAGGCUUCUCACCUCCAGUUCCACCCACCGAGGCUUCUCACCUCCAGUUCCACUCACCGAGGCUUCUCACCUCCAGUUCCACCUGGUGAGGCCUCUCACCCCCACUUCCAUUCAUGGAGGCUUCUCACCUCCAGUUCCACCUGCCAAGACUUCUCACCUCCAAUUCUAUCCACCAACGCUUCUCACCUCCAGUUCCACCUACCGAGGCUUCUCACCUCCAAUUCCACCCACCGAGGCUUCUCACCUCCAGUUCCACCCACCGAGGCUUCUCACCUCCAGUUCCACCCACCGAGGCUUCUCACCUCCAGUUCCACCCACCGAGGCUUCUCACCUCCAGUUCCACCCGCCGAGGCUUCUCACCUCCAGUUCCACCUGCUGAGGCCUCUCACCCCCACUUCCAUUCAUGGAGGCUUCUCAUCUCCAUUUCCACCUGCCAAGAUUUCUCACCUGCUAGAACCAACAAUGACUCUCUGAGGCCUCUAGAGCUGCCUUCACAUUUCAGGAGAAAAAUGACUGCUUACAACUUUUAAGAGAAAUAGAAAUUAAUCAAGCCACCGACUCAGGAGAAAGGCUUGGUCACUCAUCUAUUUUGGUCUGCUGAGCUGGAACUCAGGGCCCUUUCCAUUGUGGACAUUCAUGCCCUGUAGUUUGAGAAAAUGUUCGUGAACGAUUUCGUUGUUUAUUUCCUCUCUUGUUUUCUCCUCUUUCUGGAAUGCCCUUUUUUAAAAAAGUUGGGCCUCCUGGUGGGACCUUCCAUUUCUUGUCUUUUUCCAUCUAUGCCUUCACUUUACCUUUUUGCUCUACUUCCUAGAAUUCUUCAACUCAGUGUUCUAGUCCUUCUGCUGACUGUUUCAUUUCUGCUCUCAAGUUUUUAACUCUCAAGAACUGUUUUCUAUUUUCUGAAUGUUCCUUUUCUAUACCAUCUGUUUCUUGUUUCGUGGGUGGAAUUAGCAUUCCUUUCAGAACCCAGUAAGAAUGAUUCCCCGUGUCCCC